rnacentral:rRNA from 1 species
UACGUAGGGGGCAAGCGUUGUCCGGAUUUAUUGGGCGUAAAGAGCGUGUAGGCGGCCAGGUAGGUCCGUUGUGAAAACUGGAGGCUUAACCUCCAGCUGUCGAUGGAAACCAUCUGGCUAGAGUCCGGAAGAGGAGAGUGGAAUUCCUGGUGUAGCGGUGAAAUGCGCAGAUAUCAGGAAGAACACCCGUGGCGAAGGCGGCUCUCUGGGACGGGACUGACGCUGAGACGCGGAAGCGUGGGGAGCGAACAGG